rnacentral:rRNA from 1 species
AUUGAACGCUGGCGGCAUGCUUUACACAUGCAAGUCGAACGGUAACAGGCCGCAAGGUGCUGACGAGUGGCGAACGGGUGAGUAAUGCAUCGGAACGUGCCCAGUCGUGGGGGAUAACGCAGCGAAAGCUGUGCUAAUACCGCAUACGAUCUAUGGAUGAAAGCGGGGGACCGUAAGGCCUCGAGCGAGUGGAGCGGCCGAUGUCCGAUUAGGUAGUUGGUGGGGUAAAGGCUCACCAAGCCAACGAUCUGUAGCUGGUCUGAGAGGACGACCAGCCACACUGGGACUGAGACACGGCCCAGACUCCUACGGGAGGCAGCAGUGGGGAAUUUUGGACAAUGGGCGCAAGCCUGAUCCAGCAAUGCCGCGUGCAGGAAGAAGGCCUUCGGGUUGUAAACUGCUUUUGUACGGAACGAAACGGCGAGCUCUAAUACAGUUUGCUAAUGACGGUACCGUAAGAAUAAGCACCGGCUAACUACGUGCCAGCCGCCGCCGUAA